rnacentral:rRNA from 1 species
GACGAACGCUGGCGGCGUGCCUAAUACAUGCAAGUAGAACGCUGAAGGAGGAGCUUGCUCUUCUGGAUGAGUUGCGAACGGGUGAGUAACGCGUAGGUAACCUGCCUGGUAGCGGGGGAUAACUAUUGGAAACGAUAGCUAAUACCGCAUAACAGUAGAUGCUGCAUGACAUUUGCUUAAAAGGUGCAAUUGCAUCACUACCAGAUGGACCUGCGUUGUAUUAGCUAGUUGGUGGGGUAACGGCUCACCAAGGCGACGAUACAUAGCCGACCUGAGAGGGUGAUCGGCCACACUGGGACUGAGACACGGCCCAGACUCCUACGGGAGGCAGCAGUAGGGAAUCUUCGGCAAUGGACGGAAGUCUGACCGAGCAACGCCGCGUGAGUGAAGAAGGUUUUCGGAUCGUAAAGCUCGGUUGUAAGAGAAGAACGAGUGUGAGAGUGGAAAGUUCACACUGUGACGGUAUCUUACCAGAAAGGGACGGCUAACUACGUG